UAAGUGUCUGCUAGAUUCAUUAUUGCCAUGUGCAUUCUGUGAAAUGGGCUUAGAGGUCACUGGUUGUAGCUGCAGGAUAAAGUUCAGUUGUUUAUUCUCAGUCUGAUUGGGCCACCAUUGAAAACAGAGUGUGAACUACUGUCCAGAAGCCCUCUGUGAACUUCAGGUCUGCCUUAGGAGGGACGCUUCCAGCGAGCGAGCACGUGAUGAAGUGAUGAAGUCUGCAGGCAUUGCUUGGGCAACGCCAAGUGGCCACUGGCCAGGGUAGAAGUUAAACCAGGAGAUGGCUGUCAAAUGCAGUUGUUAGGUUUGGCACAUCUUUCUCAAACUGCUGAGCUGAGCAGGAAAGAGAGACGUUUGUUUGUGGAUUUAUCUCAUCUAUAAGACACUCUGAUAGAUGAACUCUGUAUCAGUUCUACGUAGAACUCUGCAUCAGUUCUAUAAGGCACUCUUUAAUCUGAAUCUUUCUAUUUGCUCAAGAGAAAAACAAGUCUGACUUGCAUCCCAUUGAAGAUUUAGAUUGGACAGUUUACAUCUUUCACCUGCGCCCCCGUAGCGUCCUCUACUGAUGCUGUCCUACAUUGAUUUUUCCAGCAACCUGGGAAGUAACCUCAUAGGUGGUUUGGGAUGUCUUUUGGCUGUGCUUAAAAAUUUCCGACAGAUUUGCUGCACAUCUUAGGAUAAAUAUGUUUCCUGUGAAUUGUGAUGAUUUCUUACACUACAUUUGCAAGCAUGUGUAUGCAUCUGCAGGAAACAUAGCCUGGCUCUGUGAAGGAAUACUGCUGCGACCGCAAAACUGUUUCUGUGGAAUUUUCUCCGGUGUGGUCAUCCUGCCUUCAGAGAUUUCUCCAGGACGUUACCUGGAGGAGGUACACAGUGUGAGGACACGCUCUGUGCUUUUCCUACUUGGGUCCGCGCCGUACCAGCCAGCAGCCCGCUCUCCUGGCCAUGCUGCGGCUCAACAGAAGUCCAGCAUUUGGCUAGCUUCCUGGGGGAAUGAAUCUUUCCGAGCCAAACUAAUGCUAUACAUGCAGCCUAUGAUUUUUUUUUUUUUUGGUCUUCCACAAAGUGAAUACUUACUUUUUUUUUGCUCUUUAAAUUGUCAUCCAUUAUAUUCAUCAACACAGAGAGAUGGAACAUUUGGCAAAAUUAUUUUAAGUAGCACUCCAACCUGUGAUCGUAAUUUCAAAUCAAGGAAUUUGCUGAGCAGCUGUGGGGAAGAACAAAGGGCCUGAGAGUGAUUUAGGGCCUGGGGGAAGGGAGGUGGUGGAGUUGAAGGCCCCAGCCGGUAGCAGAAACAGCUGGGGAGGUAGGUUGUGCACACCCCGUGGGGGAGCCGGUCUUCUCAGCCCUGCCAUCCCAUCCACACGUGCCUCAUCAGAGAGUUUUCAUCUGCUGAACAUACCACAUGUAGCACUUCAAAACAGAUAAACUAAGCAGAGGAUUCAGAUUCAGUUAAAUACCCUUGCUGAGAACUUCGGCUCAGGAGUUGGACAGGCCUGGCCUUGAAUCCUGGCUCUGCCACUCACUGGCCUCAGUUGCAUCAUCUGUAAAAUGGGGCUAAUAUAGCAAUCACUUAGUAGGGAUUACUAUGAGGUUGAGUGUUUAUUUGACCCAGUCACUGGCAUAGAACAAGUGUUCAAAAUACUAUUAUUAUCACAAAUAUGCAGAAAUGUUCAAUGUAUACACUCGGUUUUUGCAACCAAUUAAUUCAAUGAGCAUCUAUUGAGCACCUGUUAUAUGUUAGGUGCAGGGCUGGGUGCUGUUUGGGUACAAACACGUAAAGCAUAGGAAUUAAUAUGCUAUUAGAUAAACUAAAAAGACUUCUAUUGACUUAAAAAGUAAUAAUGACUUCCAAUCAUAUUUAAGUAAUUAACAAA